rnacentral:lncRNA from 10 species
AGGAAGAGUGACCUAUGGGAUCCAUGGAGGAGCUGCUUCCUGAAUCUGUGUAAAGUAGAUCUUGCCGUGUGGGUAACUGUGACUGCGGUGGCCAUGAAGAGGCACAACUCAGACCUCGGAUCUCCUGCUGCAGAGAACAUUGACUGACAGCCCAGCAGCUCCUGUCUGGAUCUACCACCUGUUCACGAUUCUGAAAUACAUUCAACGCACACUUUCCUACUGAGAUUUCUAAAAUGGGACUUGGAAAACAGAAAAAUAGUAAAGUGGGGUACUAUCAUCUAAAUCUCCAAAAAGGUCAUUCAACUCUGAUCCCUGUUUAAAGAGAGAAAAAAGGAAUAAAGGAGCCUUUGAAGGCAGAAUAUUGCUCACUCAUCUCUUUGAAAGGACCUCAGACUGCAGAGCAGAAGAACCACUGGCUACAUC